UUUAAUUCUUCUGGUGGUUAUCUCCGUACAAUAUGUUCUAUUUCUUGGUUUAUGAAUGUUAGAUAGUAUUUUUAACUCCCACUAUGAAAAAUGAGAAUUUAACCCAUUUAUACUAUGUUCACCUAACCUCACCUCUCUUCUCUCUCCUUUCCUUCAGUCUUUGAUGAUGAUGAUUGAAUCAGAAUGUUGAAUAUGCACCCCUCCCCCAGACUGCCAUCACUGGAAGCUGCAAAGUUGAAAACAACAGGUGGCAGUGACAGAUAUCCUCACAUUCUCAAGAGAGGCGCCAGACUCUCUACAUGCAGGACUUGCUAAAAGAACAUCCCCGUGGAAUCCAGCCCAUUACCACUUCCACGUGAUAGAUUCAACAUCUCAGGGAAGCAAGUAUUCUACUGGCUGAGCCAAGGUCACAGGACGGCCCUGUAUCAAGCUGGUGAGAGGAAGGACAGAGCUGAAGGAGCCUCAUGGGGCCCCUCCAGCUUCCACUCUGGGAGGGCAGGCACGUGGUUUUAUUGUCCCACAAAGACUGCGCACAGUGAGGGCCAAGGUGACUCCCUACAAGGAAAUCAGAGCAUGGUUGGGAAGUGACACCACUGAGCACGUCCUACCAUUAAACAAGAUUCAGUGUAGCAGGUUUGGCGCUUUCUGUGAUGAGGUGAAUUGGUCAAGAUAAAAGGCAAAGAUUUUUUACACCAUGAAGGCUUCAGGGAUGAGCAGUGUCUUACAGACCUGAUAAUAGCAGUGCCUUUGAGGAGGACAAAUGCUUCAUGCAAAAUAAUUCUUUUAAUCUUCUCCGGUUGAUGUAGAUGUAAGCAAUAUUUCAUGGUAAAAAUACUAACACAUCUAUUUCCUUGGUUGCCUCUUUUUCUUCCUCUAACUGGCUGCAGUUUCUAAUUCACACUCAUGAACCUGCC
rnacentral:lncRNA from 1 species